CCGCGCUUGAUGAAUAUGCGUUAUGGCGCUUAUUCCUAUGCACAUCAUUUGGUCGAAGUAGCUGUGCGUUUUGCAGCUCCAAGCGCUAUCAAGAAACGGCGUGGUAUUCAACUACGUGCGUCAAUGCGCAGUUUGAUAAGCGUCGAUGCUACGGGCAAUCGCUUAUCCGAUGUUUACACCUUCGAACUGACC
rnacentral:ncRNA from 1 species